rnacentral:tRNA from 3 species
AGCAGUUUGGCGCAGCGGAAGCGCGCCGGGCUCAUAACCCGGAGGUCUCAGGAUCGAAACCUGAAACUGCUA